AGGGGACGUGCGGGCGCAGGGCGGUGACGCCAGUGCUCGUAAGCGUGAUGCGCCCAUGGCUCGACCGCUACUGGAAUCGGCAGGCCAUGGGGCCCCUGCUGGAGGGGGUCACCCGAGACUUUGGGAUCCCCUUCUCAGAGCGCCUGGCGUGAAAGUCGCUAUAUGAUAGACAGUUUACAUACUUCAAGGGAAUCACUGCAGUAGGGAGGAGACUAUGUUUAAAAGAAGUAAAACUUCCGCAAUAAGAAUACAUAGUCUUAAAUUGGAGGGGCGAGGGUUUCACAAUUGUACCCAGAUGUAUUACGUUAACAGAAGGGUAGCGAAUGCAUGGACUAGCCUUCCAGCUGAAGUGGUAGAGGUUAACACAGUAGAGGAGUCUAAGUGGGUGUGGGAUAUGUGUUAGGCUGUCCUACCUAUAAGAUAAGGCCAGGGACUAAUGUCAGUGGUUAGAAACUUGGGCAGACUGGAUGGGCUGAAUGGUCCUUAUCUGCCAUCACAUUCUAUGUUUAUGUUUCUAAGUCUGUGCUCGACUUCCUGCAGAUGGUGCUGGAUGAGCUCCUGCGGGUGGUAGCUUUGGGGUGGUUCACGGGGUCAGUUGAGGCCCCGUCGCUCCCCAAGGUGCAGGUCCCCCUUUGGCCUGGUGCCCAAGUAGGAGGCAGGGGAUUUUCGUCUGAUUCAUCGUUUACCCUGCCCUCAAGGGGUUUCGGUGAAAGAUGGGCGUCCUAGGCACCCUUCGAUGCUGCAUAGUCGGGGCAGUGGGCCCUGGGGCUUUGCUAACGAAGGCCGUAGUCAGAGCCGCGUUUCGCUUGUUGCCAGUUCAAAUGGAUUGUCAUCCUCCUGGGUGGUGGGUUUGUGGUCGGUAUUAUGUGGAUACGUGCUUCCUGAUGUGUUGUUCAUGUCCUGCUUUUACAUUGAGUGUGUCAGCGGUUUCCUGGCGUGGGUGGUGCGGCAGGAGGCAAGGAUUGGCUCGUUGCUGCGUUACCUUGAUGGCUUGUGUGUGUGGGCUUUCGCUGACUUGUCGACUCUUGCUCGACUCGGCAGAACUUUAGGGUCCUCUUAGAGCGCAAUAAGACAGUGCGGCCCAGUGACAUGCCUUAGCUCCUUGGGUAUCAAAAUUGACUCUGUGACCAUGGUGUGCUGGCUGCCACGGGAUAAGGUUGAGAGGGUGUGGCGAUGGCCAGGGGUCUGAGGAGGAUGCAGCUGUGCAAGUUGCAGUCCCUGUUAGGGAGGUUCACCUUCCAGUGCCGGAUCAGGCCCAUGGGGCAUUUUAUCCGGUGCUGGAGCGUCUGGGUUUCCUUCCUGACCGAGUAUAUUGGAAGGUCAUCUUGGCAGGUGCCGGAGGUGUCCAGUUCUGACUUGCCCCUCUAUACAGAUGCGGCUGGCUCUGUCUGGUUGGGGCGAUUCUGGGAUCACGCUACUGUGCUGACAUGGUCGGCGGCUUGACCGGGAAUCUUGCCUUCCUGGAGCUUUCCGGUUGUGGUGGUUUGGAUUUAUGGGGUCGGGAGCUACAGCACAGUCGGUUGUUAUUCACCGUGCCACCUCGGGGUUUUCCAGGCGAUUAGCCAGCUCUCGGUCCCCCUUUUCUCUUUUGGUACUUCCCCUGCUCCAGCGCCUGUUGCUACGGUGCCCGUGUCUUCAUGUGUCGUAUAGGUCCAGUUCCUCUGGGGCCAAGGUACUCCAGGGUAUGGGUGGAAUGGCAGUCAUUCUUUCCGCAUUGGCGAUGCGAUGGAGGCCUCUUGGCUGGGUAUGCUGGCUCGGGAUGUGCGGAGGAUAAGAAGGUGGGACUCUAGGAGAUUUGUUCCGGUGUGCAGGACGCUGGUUUGCUCCAUUGAUUGUUUUUUUCCUUCUCAGGGCGGAUGAUUGAGCACUCGACGGUGGAGGUUCGGUGGUUCAGCGCCGGGGGGACGUGAAGUGGGUCUGGCUCCUCCUGGAAGUGGUCAGGUUCUCUUGCUUGCGGGGGGGGGGUGUCAUUGGUUCUGGUCAUUCCCCCUGUGGGGGUACUGACCUGGGGACGGUGCCGCUCGCAGACUUGGUGGACAUAGGGAAGCGGGAUUUGUCCCAGAUCCUUAUGUCAUUUCUGGGUUUUUUUUGCAUGGUGUGGUCGGAGGUUGUGGCGAGGAACUAUUGGUGGCAGGCACACAUCUGGAGUGCGUUGGAGUGCUGCCGCGAAGGGUUCAACCGUUGGGUUUCGCGGUUCGUUAUAGGGGUUUGGGGGAUGCCCAUUUCAUCAGGUUUUGAGAAGGAGGCGGUAGAUUUGUUGCGGCCAGAUGGGGUUCAUUUGACUGAGGUCGGGCUCGACCGUUUUAAUCUGGCCAUUCUAGAGAUGGUGGAACAGGCCAUGGUUAGUUUGUUUGGGGUCCCCCGCUGAUUUUAGGCUUAAAACAGCGGGGUUGUGGCGGGGUGUGUCCUUGCCAAAUAAGGGAUGGUUUGGUGGAUUAGAUGAAAAAGGGGGAUAAUGGCCGGGUCUCAUCCUCUCCCUGUCUCUUAUGGUGAACCUGGAGAAGGUACCAGGUUGGACGUGUCCCCACUGGGUUGUAAGUCGACCAGUGAGGAGCAUUAUGGUUGGGCCCCACCGAGUUGGUGGGGAGCCCUGAAAAAAAGAUGUUUUUAUUAUGCCGAGGGGGGGAGGUGAGAGCCUUGGGGAAGUUAGAUUGGCAAGGACAGUUUCUUUGGUUACUGUAUGACUAUAUGCAAAUUGUUUAUGUUAAUUUAUUAUAUUUAUUAUUUCGUUAUAUGUUAAUGGACUCAUACAGUAUUUGGUUGUGUUAAUAAAUGUUGUGGCCUGUUUUCUCCAAGAAGUUGUCUGUUGUUAUUUGAAGGGGUAAGUUAUGGUUUUAUGGGGGAUGAAGGGAAUGCUGUCCAAUGCCCACUACGUACAUACAUGAUCUUUUGGAGUUGCUGCUCUGCUUAAUAUAGUAGUUGCUGUUAAAUUAAAUAGCUGAGAGCUGCAUAUGAAUUAAUGAAUAAAACCUGCUUAAAACACUGUAUAUAGAAUGUAACAUGAUGUGUACAUAUAAUCACAAAUAGAAAACAACAGAUAAGGAGCAUUACAUAUUUAACCUAAAAAUUGAUUUAAAAUAAAAACAUAAAU
rnacentral:lncRNA from 1 species